GGGCUCUGCCUGUAAGCCCUUAACUAGAGUUGAUGGAAUUCCUACAGGGAGGUCCCACCUAUUGAGGAGGGAUGAAUCUGAGUCCCACCUAAAGAAGCAGUCUGGCCACAAUCUGCCACAGCCACUGUGUUGCACUGGGAACAUGGAGAGCAGACCUUCUUGGCAAAAUACGUACCUAGUGAAUCUCAUUUCCUCUGGUUUUGAUUCCAACCCCUCGGUCCUUCCCAUGGAGAGCUACUUCUACAAUGCAGGUGAGGAAUGAAGAAUGUGGGUUUCAGGAUCUUAGAGCCCUGACAGAUGAAACUGAUAUAACUAUCUUCACUCCCAAGUUGAAAAAAAAAGGCCAGUAGUAACCAGUAACCAGUUAGAAAACCCACGAUGAAUACCUGAAGGCUGCGAAUCCUCUACUUAUCUUAUAGUUAUCCUGCUUUGAGGGUGUGGAUGGCAGUGACAGUGAAUAUAAAGAAUUCAAGAAGCUCAGUGUAGUUAGUGCACUUGAGGUUUUUUGACUUUCCAUGAAGAAGUAUAGCUGGAAAGGUAGGCCAAGUUUUCUAUUCCUGAGGAUUGGAGACUAAUGGACACUAGGGAGCAGGAAGACUUUCCACCACAGAGGAGGAUAGCCUGGAAGCUGCCACAGUGUCAGCUCACAUGGACAGAAGCCACCAGCCAUGAGACUGCUGCCAUUUAGCGUUCCCUAGCAGCUGGCUUUUAGCUGCAAUAAAACCCAGAAAAUUACAACUCA
rnacentral:lncRNA from 13 species